rnacentral:rRNA from 1 species
AUGGAGUCUAAGGAUGCUACAUUCUUCGAGGAUAUUUUUCCUAUGAGAGAUAUGCAAAGCACUUCUAGACAGGAAUCUGACGAGACUCCUGAACCUGCCAUUCCUAUGGAAUAUUAUGAACAAACACAUUAUGAAAAUCCUGAGGAGGAUGACGAGGAAACCCUUGGUAGGGGCAAGAGACAAAGGACUACAAAGACCUUUGGUGAUGAUUUCUUCGUGUACCUCAUGGAUGAUACUCCCACUUCUAUUUCAGAAGCGUAUGCCUCUCCAGAAGCUGACUACUGGAAGGAUGCGGCCCGUAGCGAGAUGGAUUCCAUCAUGGCUAACGGGACAUGGGAGAUCACUGAUCGUCCCUAUGGUUGCAAACCACUGGGUGUAAGUGGGUGUUCAAAAAGAAGCUUAGGCCCGAUGGUACUAUUGAAAAGUACAAGGCUAGGCUUGUGGCCAAGGGCUAUGACCAGCAAGAAGAGGAAGAUUUCUUUGAUACUUAUUCACCUGUGGGUAGACUGA